CCUACGGGUGGCUGCAGUCGAGAAUCUUUCUCAAUGGGGGAAACCCUGAUGCUGCGACGCCGCGUGAGGGAAUGAAGUUCUUCGUAUCGUAAACCCCUUUCAUGUGGGAGCAAAUUCUAAAGAUCGUACCCCAAGAGGAAGAGCCGGCUAACUCUGUGCCAGCAGCCGCGGUACUACAGCGGUGUCAAGCGUUAUUAGGCAUACCUGGGCGUAAUGCGUGCGUAGGCUGUGGCGUACGUCGUGUGGGAAAGGCGCGGGCUCAACCCGCGGCCGGCACCUGAUACUGGGAGACUAGAGUGAGAGAGAGGGAAGCGGAAUUCGCGGUGUAGCAGUGAAAUGCGUAGAGAUCGAGAGGAACACUGGUGGCGAAGGCGGGUUGCUGG
rnacentral:rRNA from 1 species